rnacentral:lncRNA from 1 species
AGAUUUGAUGAAAAAGAAAAUGUGUCCAACUGCAUCCAGUUGAAAACCUCGGUUAUUAAGGGUAUUAAAAAUCAAUUGCUAGAGCAAUUUCCAGGUAUUGAACCAUGGCUUAAUCAAAUCAUGCCUAAGAAAGAUCCUGUGAAAAUUGUCCGAUGCCAUGAACACAUAGAAAUCCUUACAGUAAAUGGAGAGUUACUGUUUUUUAGACAAAGAGAAGGGCCUUUUUAUCCAACCUUAAGAUUACUUCAUAAAUAUCCUUUUAUCUUGCCACAUCAGCAGGUUGAUAAAGGAGCCAUCAAAUUUGUACUCAGUGGAGCAAAUAUCAUGUGUCCCGGCUUAACGUCUCCUGGAGCUAAGCUUUAUCCUGCUGCAGUAGAUACUAUUGUUGCAAUCAUGGCAGAAGGAAAACAACAUGCUUUAUGUGUGGGCGUCAUGAAGAUGUCUGCAGAAGAUAUUGAGAAAGUCAACAAAGGAAUUGGCAUUGAAAAUAUCCAUUAUCUAAAUGAUGGGCUGUGGCAUAUGAAGACAUAUAAAUGAGCUUCCAAAGGAAUGUGCUUGGGCUAACUAUAGAUACUGUGCUGUAUCUGUCUCUGUGUCUGUAUGACAGCAUGAAGACAAUGCCUCUAUGGUUAUGCUGAAUAAAAAUUCUGUGAAUGCU